rnacentral:misc_RNA from 1 species
AUACACGAAUACGACAUGGCUCCUCGCCUAAAAAAAAAAAAAAAAAAAAAAAAAAAAAAAAAAAAAAAAAAAAAAAAAAAAAAAAAAAAAAAAAAAAAAAAAAAAGGAAAUACAAUAUUCAUUCUCUUAGCUACUAUAGUCAACGGUUACAUUACGAUUUUUAUCUAUUUCAAUGACAUUAUCAAAUUCUGCAUAAACAAC